rnacentral:rRNA from 1 species
CUCGUAGGUGGUUUGUCGCGUCGUCUGUGAAAUUCCGGGGCUUAACUCCGGGCGUGCAGGCGAUACGGGCAUAACUUGAGUGCUGUAGGGGAGACUGGAAUUCCUGGUGUAGCGGUGAAAUGCGCAGAUAUCAGGAGGAACACCGAUGGCGAGGGCAGGUCUCUGGGCAGUAACUGACGCUGAGGAGCGAAAAGCGAUGGGUAGCGAACA